CAUUGAGAAGCUUAUUAGCGCUAGCCUUUUAAGCUAGAGAUUAGAAGUUUAAAUCUUCUCUUAAUGA
rnacentral:tRNA from 1 species